AGCAGCCGCGGUAAUUCCAGCUCCAAUAGCGUAUAUUAAAGUUGUUGCAGUUAAAAAGCUCGUAGUUGAAUUUCGGGGUUUAUCCGUUGGUCGGGCUUUUGGGUCUGUACUGGCGUGAUGGAUUCCUACCUUCUGAAUAACCAGCAUGUCAUUAAUUUGGUGCGUUGGGGAAGCAGGACUGUUACCUUGAAAAAUUAGAGUGCUUAAAGCAGGCUAUUGCCUGAAUACAUUAGCAUGGAAUAAUGAAAUAGGACGCAUGGUUCUAUUUUGUUGGUUUCUAGGGUCACCGUAAUGAUUAAUAGGGAUAGUUGGGGGCAUUAGUAUUCAAUUGUCAGAGGUGAAAUUCUUGGAUUUAUUGAAGACUAACUUCUGCGAAAGCAUUUGCCAAGGAUGUUUUCAUUAAUCAAGAACGAAAGUUAGGGGAUCGAAGACGAUCAGAUACCGUCGUAGUCUUAACCAUAAACUAUGCCGACUAGGGAUCGGACGAUGUUAAUUUUUAAUGACUCGUUCGGCGCCUU
rnacentral:rRNA from 1 species